UACGUAGGGUGCGAGCGUUGUCCGGAAUUACUGGGCGUAAAGAGCUCGUAGGUGGUUUGUCGCGUUGUUCGUGAAAACUCACAACUCAAUUGUGGGCGUGCGGGCGAUACGGGCAGACUGGAGUACUGCAGGGGAGACUGGAAUUCCUGGUGUAGCGGUGGAAUGCGCAGAUAUCAGGAGGAACACCGGUGGCGAAGGCGGGCUCACUGGGCCCGUAACU
rnacentral:rRNA from 1 species